GACAAUGGCGGUGGAGAACAUGGUCCACUCGGACUCAAUAUCUCCAGCCGAAGCUCUGCCGGAGGUAGGAGUUAAAGAUCUCUCUGACAGGAGACACAGCCAGACGUUCCCAGCAGACCCUUACAGUACGCUUGGGCCUGCCGAGUCUGUCCAGCUUCCUCCCCCACCAUCGGAUCCAACUCACCACCAGGUGGUGAUCAAAUGACAGCUCCGCCCCUCUCUUCACCUGAGUGUCCAAGACAUCAUAAAAAUUAAAAGAAAUAAACACUUGAAAUAUGUCAGUCUGUGUGGAAUGAAUGUAUACAUUAUACACGUUUCACUUUUUGAAUGGAAUUACUGAAAUAUAUCAACUUUUUGAUGAUAUUCUAAGUUUAUGAUCAGCACCUAUAUGUUUCGAUGGCCAAUCAAAUUAACGGAAGUAGGAGGGCGUAGUAGUGGAAAACGAAAUCACCCAAUCUGGCGAAGAAAACCAGGAGUGAGGGCGUGAUGAUUUUCAAUGAAAUUAAAAGGAUUGGAGUUCACUACAACCCUGCUCCUAUUUAAACUCACGCGAACGAUUACUUCGCAAUUGUGUUUUGCUGACGGUUGUAAUCAAAGUCUAAAAUGUCAGUAAAGCGUUGAGAAUGCAUUCCAGCAAUUUCUACUCUACUCGCCAAGCCAUGGAAAUGGCUAAUGAGAACGCGACAACAGUUCAAGGCAGUCCAAGUAAUUUUGUUACUAUAAAUCAAGGAUUUACACCAUUUUCAUAGCGUGCCGUCGGGGACCUACACAGUACUGCUGGCAAGGAUGAAAAGCAUAGGCCACAUGAAAGUGAAUGUGAAUAUAGUAGAACAGUCGACACAACACUGAUGUGCUGGGAUUUGUGGUAAAUCAGAUUAGUCUAAAAUGUAUUGAAGAAUGGAGCGGGACUGAAUUUGAAGAUGCAGAUGCAGCUGCAGGUCGAUACUGGACACAAAGGGAGAAACAUUGUUUGUUGGACAACCUGGACAAAGCAGCAAAGAGAAUCAGCGGACACGGCGCAGCGAGCGACAGCGGUUACAAGCGGAUAUACCCAUAGGGACUCUGAUCGGCACAGCAUAGCAUUUUCUGUUCAAUGAACUGAGUGAACACAAUCCACCGUGCCAUUCGCCG
ensembl:lncRNA